CGACAUGCGCCGCGUGGUGCAGGAGUUCGUCCGCGCAUGCUCGACUUGCCAGCGCUUGGGAUGUAAGGGGCCGGUAUGCAUGCCCUGGGUUAGUACCACCUCGCCUAGCCAAGGGGGCCGUGUUGCACUUAUAAGGGCGGGCCUCCCUCCUCUCUCAGCCUAGGUUUUGAGAGCGAGGUGCCCGUCUGAAUAGGCUGCGCACGAGCGCAUGAACGUCCGACGCUGGCGAUGGUGGGCUUUAGGCGGACUGGCCCAGUGGGUGCGUUACAAUUGGUAUCGGAGCCCACAUUGCCGCUGCUGCCUGGGAGAGCUUUGGGCCUCUUAGGGGGGUGGGAUGUAAGGGGCCGGUAUGCAUGCCCUGGGUUAGUACCACCUCGCCUAGCCAAGGGGGCCGUGUUGCACUUAUAAGGGCGGGCCUCCCUCCUCUCUCAGCCUAGGUUUUGAGAGCGAGGUGCCCGUCUGAAUAGGCUGCGCACGAGCGCAUGAACGUCCGACGCUGGCGAUGGUGGGCUUUAGGCGGACUGGCCCAGUGGGUGC
rnacentral:lncRNA from 1 species